rnacentral:lncRNA from 1 species
AUGCUGCUACAGAAAAGGAAAAAUAUUGGAAGACUUCAAACUGUGAUACUUAGAAAGAAAAAUGCAAAUAUGGCUCCUUCCAAUUGUGUUAUUGGAGGGAUAACAGGGCUCCAAACAGGAUUGCUUCCUGAAAAAGUCAGGAAAGAAACUCUACACAUUGCAUGCUUCCUAAUCCUGAAAUACUUGGUGUCUCUUUCUGUGGCACAAGAGAAAACCUUUGGAUCUCCUGGAGAGCUGUGAGGAUCUCUCUGGUCUAGAUCCUGAGAUGGAGGAUUUGAGGAAGCCAAAGGUUUAUAUCAGAAAAUAUUUGAUGAGGAAUAUAUUACUAGUUUCUGGUUUUAUUCUCUUUAAGUUGAUCAAUAUAUGUCCAAAGGAAUUACAGCAGUCAAGCACACUGUUUG